rnacentral:rRNA from 1 species
AAGCGUUUGUGACCAGACUUGCGCCCGGUGAAUCAUCCAGCUCUCUGCGCUGGUGCACUUUGCCGGGCUCAGGCCAGCAUCGGUCUCCUUAGGGGGAUAAAAGCUCCGGGAACGUAGCUCUUUCGGGAGUGUUAUAGCCCGCUGCAGAAUACCCUUCGGGGGACCGAGGUUCGCGCUCCGCAAGGAUGCUGGCGUAAUGGUUACCAACGG